UGGUUUGGCCAAAAAGUUCAUUCGGGUUUUUCUGUAAGCUGUUACAGAACGAACUUUUUGGCCAACCCA
rnacentral:miRNA from 1 species